rnacentral:rRNA from 1 species
AACGAACGCUGGCGGCAUGCCUAACACAUGCAAGUCGAACGAAGACCUUCGGGUCUUAGUGGCGCACGGGUGCGUAACGCGUGGGAAUCUGCCCUUGGGUUCGGAAUAACAGUUAGAAAUGACUGCUAAUACCGGAUGAUGUCUUCGGACCAAAGAUUUAUCGCCCAAGGAUGAGCCCGCGUAGGAUUAGGUAGUUGGUGGGGUAAAGGCCUACCAAGCCGACGAUCCUUAGCUGGUCUGAGAGGAUGAUCAGCCACACUGGGACUGAGACACGGCCCAGACUCCUACGGGAGGCAGCAGUGGGGAAUAUUGGACAAUGGGGGAAACCCUGAUCCAGCAAUGCCGCGUGAGUGAUGAAGGCCUUAGGGUCGUAAAGCUCUUUUACCAGGGAUGAUAAUGACAGUACCUGGAGAAUAAGCUCCGGCUAACUCCGUG